rnacentral:rRNA from 1 species
GUGCCAGCAGCCGCGGUAAUACGUAGGGGGCGAGCGUUGUUCGGAUUUACUGGGCGUAAAGAGCGCGUAGGCGGUUCGAUAAGUCGGAGGUGAAAUCCCUCGGCUCAACCGAGGAUCCGCGUCCGAUACUGUCGAACUUGAGUGCAGGAGAGGAGAGCGGAAUUCCGAGUGUAGCGGUGAAAUGCGUAGAUAUUCGGAGGAACACCGGUGGCGAAGGCGGCUCUCUGGACUGCCACUGACGCUGAGGCGCGAAAGCUAGGGGAGCAAACGGGAUUAGAAACCCUCGUAGUCC